rnacentral:misc_RNA from 1 species
AAAAAGAGAUGAAGAUCACCUAAUUUAGCUAAUGGGUGCAGAAUGCAUAGCUUCUUCCAUCUUCUGUACCAAAUCUUCACGCUUCUUGAACUGCCCAGCCUUGCUCAGCUGCUGCAGAACCAUCUCGUAAAUUUGCGGGCUUGGUUUCAGGGACUUCUCUAUCAUCUCUCUUAAAAAUUUGUAGGCAUUAUUCCAAUGCCCCAUUUGACAAAACAUUGAAAUCAGAACCUGGUAGGUAUUUAAAUUAGCCUGGACAUCAUUCUCAUUCAUUUCCUUCUUCAACUUCAGAACCAUAUCAGUUGAUUUCGACCCAGCAAACAUUCGCAUCAGGAUAUUGUAAGUCAUUGCAUUGGGCUUACACUUCAGCUCCUUCAUAUUGUCAUACAUUCUACGAGCUGCAUUCGCAUCUUGUAACGUUGCAAUGCAUCCGAAUAAAGAAUUGAAAGUAGAAGCAUUUGGCUUACACCCUUUCUUAACCAUCGAAUUGAGCACUUUAAUAGCAUCAUCAAGAUUCUU